GAUGAACGCUGGCGGCGUGCCUAAUACAUGCAAGUCGAGCGAAUGGAUUAAGAGCUUGCUCUUAUGAAGUUAGCGGCGGACGGGUGAGUAACACGUGGGUAACCUGCCCAUAAGACUGGGAUAACUCCGAGAAACCGGGGCUAAUACCGGAUAACAUUUUGAACCGCAUGGUUCGAAAUUGAAAGGCGGCUUCGGCUGUCACUUAUGGAUGGACCCGCGUCGCAUUAGCUAGUUGGUGAGGUAACGGCUCACCAAGGCAACGAUGCGUAGCCGACCUGAGAGGGUGAACGGCCAAACUGGGACUGGAACACGGCCCAGACUCCUACGGGAGGCAGCAGUAGGGAAUCUUCCGCAAUGGACGAAAGUCUGACGGAGCAACGCCGCGUGAGUGAUGAAGGCUUUCGGGUCGUAAAACUCUGUUGUUAGGGAAGAACAAGUGCUAGUUGAAUAAGCUGGCACCUUGACGGUACCUAACCAGAAAGCCACGGCUAACUACGUGCCAGCCGCCGCGGUAA
rnacentral:rRNA from 1 species